GGGUUUUGAAUCGUCAAACGGACCAUCACAUAUAGAGCAACAUCCGAAAUGAACGCUCAUAACGGUCUGGUCGCCAGUUCAAGUCUGGCCGGGCCCACCA
rnacentral:tRNA from 1 species